rnacentral:rRNA from 1 species
UAGUAUAAGCAUUAUACCGUGAAACUGCGAAUGGCUCAUUAAAUCAGUUAUCGUUUAUUUGAUAGUACCUUACUACUUGGAUAACCGUGGUAAUUCUAGAGCUAAUACAUGCUAAAAACCCCAACUUCGGAAGGGGUGUAUUUAUUAGAUAAAAAACCAAUGCCCUUCGGGGCUCUUUGGUGAUUCAUAAUAACUUAACGGAUCGCAUGGCCUUGCGCCGGCGACGGUUCAUUCAAAUUUCUGCCCUAUCAACUUUCGAUGGUAAGGUAUUGGCUUACCAUGGUUUCAACGGGUAACGGGGAAUUAGGGUUCGACUCCGGAGAGGGAGCCUGAGAAACGGCUACCACAUCCAAGGAAGGCAGCAGGCGCGCAAAUUACCCAAUCCCGACACGGGGAGGUAGUGACAAUAAAUACUGAUACAGGGCUCUUUCGGGUCUUGUAAUUGGAAUGAGUACAAUUUAAAUCCCUUAACGAGGAACAAUUGGAGGGCAAGUCUGGUGCCAGCAGCCGCGGUAAUUCCAGCUCCAAUAGCGUAUAUUAAAGUUGUUGCAGUUAAAAAGCUCGUAGUUGAACCUUGGGCCUGGCUGGCCGGUCCGCCUCACCGCGUGUACUGGUCCGGCCGGGCCUUUCUUUCUGGAGAUCCCCAUGCCCUUCACUGGGUGUGGUGGGGAACCAGGACUUUUACUGUGAAAAAAUUAGAGUGUUCAAAGCAGGCCUUUGCUCGAAUACAUUAGCAUGGAAUAAUAGAAUAGGACGUGCGGUUCUAUUUUGUUGGUUUCUAGGACCGCCGUAAUGAUUAAUAGGGAUAGUCGGGGGCAUCAGUAUUCAAUUGUCAGAGGUGAAAUUCUUGGAUUUAUUGAAGACUAACUACUGCGAAAGCAUUUGCCAAGGAUGUUUUCAUUAAUCAGUGAACGAAAGUUAGGGGAUCGAAGACGAUCAGAUACCGUCGUAGUCUUAACCGUAAACUAUGCCGACUAGGGAUCGGGCGAUGUUGCUAUCAUGACUCGCUCGGCACCUUACGAGAAAUCAAAGUAUUUGGGUUUCCUGG